AGUUCCCCGGCGGCCCUCGGCUCCAGCAAGGACUUUGGGCCUUUUCUUGUGUCCUGUUUGUUAAAGGCAUGCGGGCUACAGCAUUCAAGAGGGCUAGUUUUUAACAAAGGGAAAGAGAUAAAUGUAAAUAAGCUCACAUUUUCAGAAUGAGCCGUUUGCAGUAAGGAGCUGCGGCAGCCCAGAGUCUGCUCCUUUGGGCUGGGCUAACCUUUCCCUGUUUUCUUUUCUUCUUUUUUUUUUUUUAUGGAUAAAAGUAUGCACUUCCAAAGUGCGAGUUGCCCGUUUACAUGUUUAUUAGCUAAUUAUCUACAGGCAUGAGCACAUUCUCUCAUCUAGCACACUCUAUUUUGGGGUUAACUUUUCCUCAAAGGAGGUAGGCUGCAAGAAUAGUAUCAGUCUGGACUAGCAGCACUCAAGUAAGGAAAUCUUUGAUUGCCUGACUUCAGAAAAUUCAUUGAUUAUCCACAUCGCAGAUAAAUUUGGUGCCAGAAUUUGGUUUGAACUAAUGUGAGUACUAUAGGUCAGAUUUUACCUUUUUCAUUUUAUUCUUCAAUUCUUUU